GACCCUGUGGUGAAGUUCAUAGUGAGUUGCAAGCUCAUUGAUGUGCGUUAAGAGCGUGCCAGGGUCU
rnacentral:tRNA from 1 species